CCAAUACCAACAACAACACCAACACAGAGUUUCAGAAGAAGCUCCACAUCUUCAUCAUCUUCCACUGAAACCACUGAACAGUCUGAACAGGAGCAAACUGAGACAACAACAGAUGGAGGUUCAGGUGUGCUGCUGUACGUGGGUCUGACUCUGUUCAUCUUCGUGCUCCUGUUCUCCGUGGCUGUGCUGAUACUCUGCAAGAAAAGAGCCUCUAAACCCAAAGAACAUCCUGAGGAAGCAGUGUA